rnacentral:rRNA from 1 species
UAAAUAUUCAUAGGUAACGGUUGGGCAUGCGUCCUAUUAGAUAGUUGGGGGGGUAACGGCCCACCAAGUCGAUGAUAGGUAGGGGUUCUGAGAGGAAGGUCCCCCACACUGGUACUGAGACACGGACCAGACUCCUACGGGAGGCAGCAGUGAGGAAUAUUGGUCAAUGGGCGAGAGCCUGAACCAGCCAAGUCGCGUGAGGGAUGACUGUCCUAUGGGUUGUAAACCUCUUUUGUAUGGGGGGAAUAAGCUUUACGAGUAGAGUGAUGACAGUACCAUACGAAUAAGCAUCGGCUAACUCCGUGCCAGCAGCCGCGGUAAUACGGAGGAUGCGAGCGUUAUCCGGAUUUAUUGGGUUUAAAGGGUGCGUAGGCGGCAUUAUAAGUUAGUGGUAAAAUAUUGGGGCUUCACCUCACUACGCCAUUAAUACUGUAGAGCUAGAGAACAGACGAGGUAGGCGGAAUAAGUUAAGUAGCGGUGAAAUGCAUAGAUAUAACUUAGAACACCGAUAGCGAAGGCAGCUUACCAGACUGAGUCUGACGCUGAUGCACGAGAGCAUGGGUAGCGAACAGGAUUAGAUACCCUGGUAGUCCAUGCCGUAAACGAUGCUCACUGGCCUUAGGCGAUAUAUGGUCU